AACAUCGCGCACCUGCGGGAACCUGCGGAGGGAUCAUUACAAGUGACCCCGGUCUAACCACCGGGAUGUUCAUAACCCUUUGUUGUCCGACUCUGUUGCCUCCGGGGCGACCCUGCCUUCGGGCGGGGGCUCCGGGUGGACACUUCAAACUCUUGCGUAACUUUGCAGUCUGAGUAAACUUAAUUAAUAAAUUAAAACUUUCAACAAUGGAUCU
rnacentral:misc_RNA from 1 species